UAAGCGGAGGAAAAGAAACUAACAAGGAYUCCCCUAGUAACUGCGAGUGAAGAGGGAAGAGCUCAAAUUUAAAAUCUGACAGUGUUUUGCUGUCCGAGUUGUAAUCUAGAGAAGUGUUACCCGUGCUGGACCAUGUACAAGUCUCCUGGAAUGGAGCGUCACAGAGGGUGAGAAUCCCGUCUUUGACAUGGACUACCAGUGCAUUGUGGUGUGCUCUCAAAGAGUCGAGUUGUUUGGGAAUGCAGCUCUAAAUGGGUGGUAAACUCCAUCUAAAGCUAAAUAUUGGCGAGAGACCGAUAGCGAACAAGUACCGUGAGGGAAAGAUGAAAAGAACUUUGGAAAGAGAGUUAAACAGUAUGUGAAAUUGUUGAAAGGGAAACGCUUAAAGUCAGUCAUGUCGGCCAGGGAUCAACUUAGCUUUCUUUGCUGGGUGUACUUCCUGAUCUGAUGGGCCAACAUCAGUUUUGACUGCUGGAGAAGGAUAGAGGGAAUGUGGCACCUCCGGGUGUGUUAUAGCUCUUUGUCGGAUGCAGUGGUUGGGACUGAGGAAAGCAGCAUGCCGUAAGGCCGGGUUUCGACCACGUUCAUGCUGAGGAUGUUGGCAUAAUGGCUUUAAUC
rnacentral:rRNA from 1 species